AGAGUUUGAUCCUGGCUCAGGAUGAACGCUGGCGGUAUGCUUAACACAUGCAAGUCGAACGGACCCUUCGGGGUUAGUGGCGGACGGGUGAGUAACGCGUGAGAAUCUGCCUUUAGGUCGGGGACAACAGUUGGAAACGACUGCUAAUACCGGAUGUGCAGCAAUGUGAAAGAUUUAUUGCCUAAAGAUGAGCUCGCGUCUGAUUAGCUAGUAGGUGUGGUAAUGGCGCACCUAGGCGACGAUCAGUAACUGGUCUGAGAGGAUGACCAGUCACACUGGGACUGAGACACGGCCCAGACUCCUACGGGAGGCAGCAGUGGGGAAUUUUCCGCAAUGGGCGAAAGCCUGACGGAGCAAUACCGCGUGAGGGACGACGGCUUUUGGGUUGUAAACCUCUUUUCCCUGGGAAGAAGAUCUGACGGUACCAGGGGAAUCAGCAUCGGCUAACUUCGUGCCAGCAGCCGCGGUAAUACGAGGGAUGCAAGCGUUAUCCGGAAUUAUUGGGCGUAAAGCGUCCGCAGGUGGCUUUGUAAGUCUGUCGUUAAAGCGUGGAGCUCAACUCCAUAUCGGCGAUGGAAACUACAAGACUAGAGUUUGGUAGGGGUCACGGGAAUUCCUAGUGUAGCGGUGAAAUGCGUAGAUAUUAGGAAGAACACCAGCGGCGAAAGCGCGUGACUGGGCCAAUACUGACACUCAUGGACGAAAGCUAGGGGAGCGAAAGGGAUUAGAUACCCCUGUAGUCCUAGCCGUAAACGAUGAUAACUAGGUGUUGCUCGUAUCGACCCGAGCAGUGCCGUAGCCAACGCGUUAAGUUAUCCGCCUGGGGAGUACGCACGCAAGUGUGAAACUCAAAGGAAUUGACGGGGGCCCG
rnacentral:rRNA from 1 species